rnacentral:rRNA from 1 species
GUACACUCCUGCGGGAGGCAGCAGUGGGGAAUUUUGGACAAUGGGCGAAAGCCUGAUCCAGCAAUGCCGCGUGUGUGAAGAAGGCCUUCGGGUUGUAAAGCACUUUUGUCCGGAAAGAAAUCCUUGGCUCUAAUACAGUCGGGGGAUGACGGUACCGGAAGAAUAAGCACCGGCUAACUACGUGCCAGCAGCCGCGGUAAUACGUAGGGUGCGAGCGUUAAUCGGAAUUACUGGGCGUAAAGCGUGCGCAGGCGGUUUGCUAAGACCGAUGUGAAAUCCCCGGGCUCAACCUGGGAACUGCAUUGGUGACUGGCAGGCUAGAGUAUGGCAGAGGGGGGUAGAAUUCCACGUGUAGCAGUGAAAUGCGUAGAGAUGUGGAGGAAUACCGAUGGCGAAGGCAGCCCCCUGGGCCAAUACUGACGCUCAUGCACGAAAGCGUGGGGAGCAAACAGGAUUAGAAACCCCGGUAGUCCCAUG